AUUUUGCGUUAGGGAUAGUAGUGAAAAUCCUUUUUUUCGUCAGUUCGAGUUCCUCGCUUUUUUGCGAGGAGUAUCGAGAACAAGAAAAAAAGAUUGUAACGUAUAGCCCGACCCUUG
rnacentral:sRNA from 1 species